UUGCUUCAGAAGCACAUGUACCAAGAUUAAAACGAUUCAGGGAAGACUAGCAUGGACCCUGCACACGGUAACAUACAAAUUGAUGAAGUGUUCCAUAUUAAA